CAAGAAAUAGUUUAGGAUAGAAUAUAAACUUUGGGAGUUUAAGGUAAGUGAUUGAUUUUUUCUUGA
rnacentral:tRNA from 1 species